GCUUCCGGAGAGCGGGGCCUGCGCGCUGCUCUUCCCCGCGGAGCCCGGGCAGUCCGCGCAGCCCGCAUCGCGACUGGGCCCGCGCGCAGGAUGGCUGCUCCAUGAGGUCAAGACUGGGUCUCCUCCCUCCUCCCCCUUCACCAAUGCCUGGUCUCACGGGGCUAGUUUUGACCCCCACGCUAUGGCAUCAUCGACCUCCCUCCCAGCUCCUGGCUCUCGGCCUAAGAAGCCUCUAGGCAAGAUGGCUGAACCAUUUAGAGGAGAAGCCAAGCAGAGAGAGAAAAUGAAUCAAUCCCCACCACAACUAUCUGUCCUUAUCAAGGGCUGGGGAAGCUGAAUUUUCAUCUCCUUAUGGAGUCCCUACAACACACCUGACACUGCAUUAUCUCAGUUAACUUUCAGCAACUAAGACAAACCCAUUUUACAGAUGAGGGAAUGGAGACACAGACUAACUUGCUGAAGGUCAUACAGAAAGUGAGCCACAGGUCCACAGUCAAAGCCGUGUCCCUGACUUGAGU
rnacentral:sRNA from 1 species